rnacentral:lncRNA from 1 species
GUAUCACCCACCACAACUUUUCUUUCUCGACCUCCUGAAUUUCAAUAAUUUGUUUCAUAGAACAACUAAUAGUCUUACUAUUGAAUCAUAUCUUUCUUAUGUUCCCAAGAAAAUAGGUUUAUACUUCCCAAUUUACUUGAAUAACAAAAGAGUAACUAAACACAAUACAUACUCAUGCAACACAAAAUAACAUACUUGUACAUCAAUAUUUAACCCGACUUACACUUAUCCUAAAUUGAGUCUUAAUGAUCCUGAACAAAAAUUUUUGUUGUCUAAACCUUUUAAACUCAUCCUAAGAAAAACCCUUAGUGAUUGUAAACCUAGGCUCUCUAAUUGCUAAAACAUACC